UCACACUAUCCGGGGCGUUAGCGGUGCCCUGCACCCGCAAUCCGCUGCAGCGGGGGAGAAUGCCUUUAUGAGGGCGUUUGCGGAUACGGUAAGCGGCACGGGUUUUACGUUGAGAAACAGGUUCGGCGCAAUAUCGAGUUGUGAAAUAUGUCAGGCGGGGAACCGAGCAGCAUUAAGCAAUAUACGGUAUGUGACGCCGAGCUGCCUGUUUUGAGUAAAUCCUGUGUCAGGCUCGUGUUUACAGACGUUCGAACAGGGCUGUGUGA
rnacentral:SRP_RNA from 1 species